rnacentral:rRNA from 1 species
AGAACGAACGCUGGCGGCAUGCCUAAUACAUGCAAGUCGAACGAACACUUCGGUGUUAGUGGCGCACGGGUGCGUAACGCGUGGGAAUCUGCCCUUGGGUUCGGAAUAACAGUUGGAAACGACUGCUAAUACCGGAUGAUAUCGAAAGAUCAAAGAUUUAUCGCCCAGGGAUGAGCCCGCGUAGGAUUAGCUAGUUGGUGAGGUAAAGGCUCACCAAGGCGACGAUCCUUAGCUGGUCUGAGAGGAUGAUCAGCCACACGUGGGACUGAGA